AGGGUUAGUAGCUCAGCGGUAGAGCGGCGGACUUCAGCUCCGAGGGUCACCGGUUCAAUCCCGGUCUAAUCC
rnacentral:tRNA from 1 species